GCUCUGCCGAAAAGCAGUCUCUAUGGAUCGAAUCCCUCUAUGGGACAACAGUGUCACAGUGCAGACCUCUGAGGUCCUUACACACUGAAACCGUUAUGCUCUGUGGAGCACACGGUUAUGAGGAGGCGGCACUAGCACAUCUGUUCUGUAAACCUGGCUUCAGGUGUGUAGACAUCUUGCUGUGUGGCACACAGUAGACAGGAUUGGGCUGCAGCCUUCAGCAUCUUUCAGAAGACCUGAUUCCAGAGUUGGGAAAAUAAACAAUACAUCCUUCACUGAGGAACCUGGCUCAAGGGAUUUGCUCCAUCCCAAAACUGUCAGCAGGGGCCAACCCACCUGAUGUAAGGCCUUAAGAUUUUUACUGAGUCUCUGAGAAAUGCCUCUGUUGCCUUAUGUAUAAACCACUGUGGUAGCUUAUCCACCUCGAGGGACUGUGAACAGGACAUUUCCUUUCUGCACGGGCACUGCUGCUCUGAGCCAGCCUUUGAUCAUACCUUUGUGGGGGAAAACUUUCUAUGAUUAAAAGCUCCA